rnacentral:rRNA from 1 species
UACGGAGGAUGCGAGCGUUAUCCGGAUUUAUUGGGUUUAAAGGGUGCGCAGGCGGUCUGUUAAGUCAGCGGUCAAAGCCCGGGGCUCAACCCCGGCCCGCCGUUGAAACUGGGGAUCUAGAGUGUGCGAGAGGUAUGCGGAAUUCGUGGUGUAGCGGUGAAAUGCUUAGAUAUCACGAAGAACUCCGAUUGCGAAGGCAGCUCACUGGACUGCAACUGACACUGAGGCUCGAAAGUGUGGGUAUCAAACAGG